UGACAUUGAAUCGUUGUUUGGAACGUGGUUAGCUGGGGUUGAGCAUAUUACUGCGGCUCGUAUUCGGAUUGGAAUAUGUGCGCUUAUAUGGGCUAUAUAGAAUUGCGGGAAUGGUAUGAUUUUUAACAGACAACACACUUUAACUUUCUUGCAGGUCCUCUUCAGAGCUACCGCAUGGAUCCGUACGUGGUCCUUACUCACUCCUAUGGACUCCAGGGGGCCUUUGGUUACUGGGUGCAACCAGUGGGAGAUGGUAGCACGGGCUAUAUUCAACCGGUUCGGAUGGCAGUCACAUAACAGGAUAGGAGUCUAGGGAGCUUAUCUUUUACACUGUCAUACCGGUUGUGAUUUUGAGCAUGUACUUUUCUUUUCUUUUCUUUUUUCGCUUCACUUGCAAGCUGUAAUACUUUUAUGACUUUGUGCUACUUCAAGAUUCUUUAAUAAGAUGGCUGCAUGUAUUAUUAUGAUGCAGAGGCCGGGGAUACGCCUCCAUUUCCAAAAAAAAUGUCUUUUAAAUUGCAAUCUUUUAAAACUUAAUAUUUUUAAAAUAUGCAAAUUUAUUUGAUUUAAUGAACUUAUUCAAAUAAAAAAAUGAUAGCUAACUUUUUCUAAUCAAGCAGUGGAGCGAGCAAAAUGAGUGAACCUAUAUUCUAAAAUAUAUCUAUAUACAUCAAUAUGUAGUUCGUAUUUGAAUUUCUAAAAAAUACUUAUAUUUAGGAACGGAGGGAGUACUAGUAAACUAUACACGAUUGAUCAGUUCGCUUGAUUGAUACGAUGCCUUAUUCUGGUGGAAGAUGAUUCAUUUUCAUAAAUUUUUCUCAAAAACAAAAAUUGAUUUGUAAACUUCUUUUGGGAAACGUUUAUAGCCGGUCGACCGGCCGAGCGUUCGGCUGGUCCCCUCGCUCGCGUCGCUGGGCAGCCCAGCCCACCAACCACAGAACUUAUCUCUAACCCCACCACUUCCAUCUUAUCCCCUCGCUUUUUCUGGAGACCACACGAGGCAUCCUCGUCCUGCUCGCCCUUCAGUCCCCAAGUUCUCAAUCUCUCCUCCUCCUUCCUGUGUUUUCUCCAAAAUCCACAUCUAAUCCCCAUGAAAUUGAGCUCGUUUUUGUUGCCUUCUCUGCUCCGCGCAACAUUUUUCCUCCAUAGAUCCAUGAGAGGGCGUGCAAAGGGCAGGACGACCGUGAUGCAAGCUCGUGCACCCGCUGCGUUACCAUGGUGUGCGACGGCGGAGACCGGUGCCGGCUGGGGCAGCGAUGCAGGAAACGGCACACCUCGUUGCUGGAACCGGCCGACUGGAAAGCUGCAACCGGCAUCCGUUGAUGCUGGAACCAGUAAUCAUUUUUGCUACCACAGGCGUUUGGUUUUGCUUGAACCACCGCCAAAUUUGUAAGUUUGCUACUACUGAUUUUCUGGUUUGCUGGAACAAGCUUGAAUUUUUGCUGGAACCAUAUUCUUUUUUUGCUGGAACCGACCCAUGUUUUUGCUACCACCCACUCACCUCAAAUCUUCUACCAUGGUGAUUUUUUGCUGGAACCAGCGAACCACUUUGCUACAACCGUUUUGGGUUUUGUUACUAUUGUUUGUUUUGUGAUUUUUUGCUACAUCCAUCUCCAUGACAUAGCCUGUUUUUUCCAGUCAAUUUUGCUACAACCAUGCUUUGAUUUUGCUGGAAACAAAGACAAUUUUUGCUAGAAUCAUUUUUUGAUUUUGCUGGAACCGAAGAUAAUUUUUGUUACAUCCACCAGGCGGCGAUGGCUUUCUUUUUGCUGCAACCGUCUCGGAUUUUUUGCUACUACAGGAGUUGCCAUUUUGCUACUACCAGAGCCUUGCUCGAAGCAUCAGGAGUUUUUGCUACCACCCCUUUUAUUUUUGUUUCGAUUUUUGCUGGAACCAACCUAAAAAUUGCUCCAACCGUCGUUCGAUUUUGCUGGAACCGGCAUUUUUUGCUUCGUCGGUGGCGGUGAAGGCGGGUGGCGUUUUGCUUCGCCAGCGGCGGCUAGGCUGCGACCUGCGAGCACCGGCGGCGAGCAGAAGCAACGAGGGUCCAAAGGAGGGCGGCGGGGCUAGCGUGCGGGAUCCCGCGAGCGGCGGUGGCGCUCGCUCCCCCCCCCCCCCCCCCCUUUUUUUCCCUGUGCGGAGGAUGACGAAAGGGGAUGCGGGACAGAUCUGACGGUCCCGCGCGUCCAGAUCGAGUGGCUCGGGUUGGACCGGCCGAAACUUUGCGCCGGUGCGCCGGCGCAGAGUACUGCCCAUUUUUUUUUUUUGAGUCUAAAAAAUGAUUCGUAAUGGUAACGGCCUGAAACGUGAUUUGUGUAAUACUUUGGGCCGGUGAGCAGCCGAUGCCGCUUGGGCCUUUUAUGCAGGAACCUUGGUUGCUUUUAUUAACCGGGCCUGCCUGUUUGAGACACGAGAGACCUUCCUUCCCUCAAAAAAAAAAAGGACACGAGAGACCUUCCUUCCUCCUUUGUUCCUCUUACCAACCACCGGCAAUCGCUCAAAAAAAAAAAAAAAUAAACCAACGACCCGCUGUGCUAGGGUUCCUGAUCCCGCCGACGACUUCUCCACGCCGCCCCACAUCCCUCCACCAGAAUCAGGCGCUCUAAUACUAGGUACUCGAUGCCUCGAGUCGGAGACCUAGAAGCAUCCUCGUUCUUAAGGCCCUUGGCGGAGUUCGGUUACCUUUCCUCCAUCAUUCUGGAACGAUGGAUUAAUUUGAAGAACGUGUCUAUCGAACGGCCUUUCUUAAUAUACAACACUGUAUGGUUGGUUCUUGACAAAAUAGACUCGCCCUAUGCACGGCCCUGAACAAUUUUUUAAUAUUCCAUCCUUUUAGGUUUACAAGGCACCUCAACCCAAUGGGUGCCUUGUUUACUGAGUGGAGGGAUUCUGUGAAAAGAAACAACCCUCGGAAUUGUAGUUUUGUGAAAAAUUAUAUCAAUGAGAGUGAGUGGUUACAUGUUUAAAAGUGUGUUUCUAUGAAAUUGAUUUCCUUGGGAAGGUUUCCUAUUACUCUUGCAGAAACCCUAGAGAUCCGAGGAAGAAAAAUCGAUGAAUUGAUUUCUGGUAGAUACUUCUUUGGUAUACAAGAAACCUUUGAUAUCAUGAUGAAGUAUAUUCUUGGCAUGGCAAGUAUGCAACCCUUUUGUAAGCUGCUCUGUAUAAAUUAAAAGAGAAGAAUGUUUGAGAAAUAUGAAUAGACCUUUUUAAUCCAGAUAAUUUUGUACCGAGCAAACUAAGUGAUGGUUUGCAUCGGUAUNCCCCCCCCCCCCCCCCCCCUGUGGUCUGUUCUGUUGGGUAUGGGGUAUGCUAUGCUUUCAGGUGCUAAUUCUGUUUUAGAUGGACCCUGUGUUUCGUAUUACUUCAAUUGUCAGUUAUAUUGCUCCUGUUUUGCACAAUGGCAGUUGGCACCACUGCUUUAACUGUCACAAUUCCUGUUUUGCGCCUUGCCGAUCGGCUCUUUCUUUUCCAAUGUGUAUGCUUGAGCCCCUGUGCAACACCACGUGUACUCUCUGUUUUCUUGUUGCGUGUACACCCAUCUUUAGUUUUUGAUUCAGGCGAUAUCAGUCUAUAAAGUUUACUGGCGUGUGUAUGGCAGGAUGCAUGGCUAGUCUUAAGUUUGAGCAUUUGUUUGGUUUUGUACAGAGAUGCCAAUUGGUUUAGCUUCUUUUAGCCUGUGCUUAAUUUUUCCUAACUGUCAAUAUCCUGUCAGAGGGAUUUCUAUGGUCGGGGGUUGCACAAUACGAGAACCAAGCUUUUCUGGCUCUUUUGCUUUGGAUAGGCAUCACCUUUUUUUGCAGUUUAUAUAUAGUUCUGUACAAUACUUUGCUGCUGUACGAUAAUAAAAUCUGUUGAAUUUCAUGAAUCACAUCAAGAAUCAUGGUCUCAUAAAAGGUUAUUUUUGUGUCUCGGCUAUCAUUGCUAAACCAAAGUUUAAGCUCCUUUUGUGCUUUUGCUUCUUACCAAACACAGUUUGUCAUCAUUCCUUUUGAAGUAAAAUUUGCGGCAACAUCUGAACCAAGCAAGGCGAUGUACCCGGUAAAAUCUGGAUUUGGGUGAAACCCUGAAAAACCUCGCGUGCCAUUAGAUCUACAACAAACGGCAUCUGCUCAAAGAUGAAUAAUUUAGCCAGAUUAUUUGGGGAUCAACUUGCCCCCUCCCGCUCCUACUUCCUGUACCGCAGAGAAAGCCUGAGGCUUGCCGGCCACAGCCGGCGGGGCUCUAAAUGCUCAGGCCAGCGACACCGGCCACGGAAGUGAGGUAGAGCGGCACUGGUGCCCGUGAGGCCGUGACCUGCAGGGAGCGUCGAGCACAGCGCGGUAGUUAAUUUCGCGUAGGCAAUCUCCCAUUCAGUUUGUCUUGUACAUAUUUUUCUCUCUGAUUUUGUAGCUCCUCCUUAGUGAACUUCUAGCUGAAUGCUGAUGUAAAUUGUCUAUGUAUGAUGCUAUGAACAUUAUCACUCAAGAUUCAACGUAAAUUUUUGCUUCUGUUUAUUUCA